UGAACGCUAGCGGCAGGCUUAACACAUGCAAGUCGAGGGGUAACAGGGUUUGCUUGCAAACCGCUGACGACCGGCGCACGGGUGCGUAACGCGUAUAGAACCUACCCUUUACAGGGAGAUAGCCCGGAGAAAUCCGGAUUAAUAUCCCAUAGUACUAUUUUAUGGCAUCAUAAGAUAUUUAAAGUUUUAACGGUAAAGGAUGGCUAUGCGUCUUAUUAGCUAGUAGGUAAGGUAACGGCUUACCUAGGCUACGAUAAGUAGGGGCCCUGAGAGGGGGAUCCCCCACACUGGUACUGAGACACGGACCAGACUCCUACGGGAGGCAGCAGUGAGGAAUAUUGGACAAUGGGCGCAAGCCUGAUCCAGCCAUGCCGCGUGCAGGAAGACGGCCCUACGGGUUGUAAACUGCUUUUAUACAGGAAGAAUAAGGGGUACGUGUACCCUGGUGACGGUACUGUAAGAAUAAGGACCGGCUAACUCC
rnacentral:rRNA from 1 species